UUUAAUUGAAGAGUUUGAUCAUGGCUCAGAUUGAACGCUGGCGGCAGGCCUAACACAUGCAAGUCGAGCGGUAACAU
rnacentral:rRNA from 1 species